ACUGAGGCCAAAAAAAAAAUAGGUGUGUUUCCUGUUGCAUGCCCCAAAAAAUUAGGGUCGGUAGGUAGGUAUUUUUUUUACUGGCCUGCUUCGGUUGUUUUUUGUGUAUUUUUAUAAUCAGUUUGUUAUUCUUUCAGGUUAUUUUCAUCAGUUCAUUGUAUAAAGUAUACAAGAUAUGAAUAGUCCAGUUGAAAAGCGUUCACUGCAUGUUUGGUUGCUUUCUCUGCAGCAUCCUUGACACUAUUUGAUAAAAGUUCAAAAGUGUCAGAUUCUGGAACAACACACUUGAAUUUAAAGUCCCUCACAUUAAAAAGCUGCACAACUUCCCCAACUGUCAAUGUGGGAGAUAUUUCAUGGUUUUUUCCAGUCACAGUAAAUUCAUUGUUCUUUAAUCCAAAGUCAUGAUACUGAUUGAAUAUAUCAAUAAAGGUGGUAGAAUUAGAAAAUGGGGCUAUUAUACUUUUUUUCUCGUUCCUGUGUGGACACUCAUCGAUUGUUAUUGAUAACACACUUUGACUGAUGGCCAU
rnacentral:lncRNA from 1 species